CCCUUAGAUGUUCUGGGCAGCACGCGCGCUACAAUGGUCUUCGCAAACGGAUGCAUUCUCGAAGGAGAAUGCCAAUCUUGGAAUCUAUGCCUUGGUCGGGACAGUUGCUUGCAAUUUUUCGACUCGAACCAGGAAUUCCUUGUAAUCGUGAUUCAUCACAUCACGAUGAAUACGUCCCUGCCCUUUGUACACACCGCCCGUCGCUCCUACCGAUCGAAGAGUUAGGUGAAUUGUUUUGAUCGAUAAGAUUUGACUAUGGUCAACUCUCUUUGUGAAAUUCUGUGAAUCUGACUGUUUAGAGGAAGGAAAAGUCGUAACA
rnacentral:rRNA from 1 species